rnacentral:rRNA from 1 species
AUACGUAGGUGGCAAGCGUUGUCCGGAUUUACUGGGCGUAAAGGGAGCGUAGGUGGAUAUUUAAGUGGGAUGUGAAAUACCCGAAGCUUAACUUGGGAGCUGCAUUCCAAACUGGAUAUCUAGAGUGCAGGAGAGGAGAAUGGAAUUCCUAGUGUAGCGGUGAAAUGCGUAGAGAUUAGGAAGAACACCAGUGGCGAAGGCGAUUCUCUGGACUGUAACUGACGCUGAGGCUCGAAAGCGGUGGGGAGC